UACGUAGGGUGCAAGCGUUGUCCGGAAUUAUUGGUCGUAAAGAGCUCGUAGGCGGUCUGUUGCGUCGGCUGUGAAAACCCGAGGCUCAACCUCGGGCCUGCAGCCGAUACGGGCAGACUAGAGUUCGGUAGGGGAGACUGGAAUUCCUGGUGUAGCGGUGAAAUGCGCAGAUAUCAGGAGGAACACCGGUGGCGAAGGCGGGUCUCUGGGCCGAUACUGACGCUGAGGAGCGAAAGCGUGGGGAGCGAACAGG
rnacentral:rRNA from 1 species